CUGUUCGAGCGUCAUUAUGACCACUCAAGCCUAGCUUGGUAUUGGGGUUCGCGGUCUCGCGGCCCUUAAAACCAGUGGCGGUGCCAUCUGGCUCUAAGCGUAGUUAAUUUAUCUCGCUAUUGGGUCCGGUGGUUGUUUGCCAGCAACCCCCAACUUCUAAGGUUGACCUCGGAUCAGGUAGGGAUACCUGCUGAACUUAA
rnacentral:misc_RNA from 1 species